rnacentral:rRNA from 1 species
UGCAGUCGCGCGACGAAAGGGUUGUCUGAUCUUUCGGGUGAAGACGGCCCCUGAAAGCGGCGAACGGGUGAGUAACACGUGAGCAACCUACCCCUCGGAUGGGGGACAACGUCGGUACCUUCGGGUACCUCGCGAAAGCGGCGCUAAUACCGCAUACGUCCUUCCGGUUUCCUGGCCGGGAGGGGAAAGCGGGGGAUCCUUCGGGACCUCGCGCCGAGGGAUGGGCUCGCGGCCGAUUAGCUUGUUGGUGAGGUAACGGCUCACCAAGGCCCCGAUCGGUAGCUGGCCUGAGAGGGUGGUCAGCCACACUGGGAUUGAGAUACGGCCCAGACUCCUACGGGAGGCAGCAGUCUAGAAGCUUCGGCAAUGGGGGAAACCCUGACCGAGCGACGCCGCGUGGGGGAUGAAGGCCUUCGGGUUGUAAACCCCUUUUGGCAGGGAAGAACGGCGCCGGAUCCUAAUACGGCCGGCGUUUGACGGUACCUGCAGAAGAAGCCCCGGCUAACUCCGUGCCAGCAGCCGCGGUAAUACGGGGGGGGCAAGCGUUAAUCGGAAUCAUUGGGCAUAAAGGGCGUGUAGGCGGCCUCUUAAGUCGGGUGUUAAAUACCCAUCGCUCAACGAGGGAAAUGCGCCCGAAACUGAGAGGCUUGAGUGCGGUAGAGGAGCAUGGAAUU